CAGAGGUCCCGAGCGUUGUUCGGAUUCACUGGGCGUAAAGGGCGCGUAGGUGGCUUGGUAAGUUUGAUGUGAAAUCUCCGGGCUUAACCCGGAAAAUGCAUUGAAUACUAUUUGAGCUUGAGGAUUGGAGGGGGGACUGGAAUUCUUGGUGUAGCAGUGAAAUGCGUAGAUAUCAAGAGGAACACCAGUGGCGAAGGCGAGUCCCUGGACUACACCUGACACUGAGGCGCGAAAGCUAGGGGAGCAAACAGGAUUAGAUACCCUGGUAGUCCUAGCUGUAAACGGUGCAUAUUUGCUGUAAAAGGAUUCGACCCCUUUUGUGGCGAAGCUAACGCGAUAAAUAUGCCGCCUGGGAAGUACGGUCGCAAGAUUA
rnacentral:rRNA from 1 species